GAUGAACGCUGGCGGCGUGCCUAAUACAUGCAAGUCGAGCGAACAGACGAGGAGCUUGCUCCUCUGACGUUAGCGGAGGACGGGUGAGUAACACGUGGAUAACCUACCUAUAAGACUGGGAUAACUUCGGGAAACCGGAGCUAAUACCGGAUAAUAUAUUGAACCGCAUGGUUCAAUAGUGAAAGACGGUUUUGCUGUCACUUAUAGAUGGAUCCGCGCCGCAUUAGCUAGUUGGUAAGGUAACGGCUUACCAAGGCAACGAUGCGUAGCCGACCUGAGAGGGUGAUCGGCCACACUGGAACUGAGACACGGUCCAGACUCCUACGGGAGGCAGCAGUAGGGAAUCUUCCGCAAUGGGCGAAAGCCUGACGGAGCAACGCCGCGUGAGUGAUGAAGGUCUUCGGAUCGUAAAACUCUGUUAUUAGGGAAGAACAAAUGUGUAAGUAACUAUGCACGUCUUGACGGUACCUAAUCAGAAAGCCACGGCUAACUACGUG
rnacentral:rRNA from 1 species